rnacentral:rRNA from 1 species
UGCGUAGGAGGCAAGCGUUGUCCGGAAUUACUGGGCGUAAAGCGUGCGCAGGCGGUUUUGUAAGCCAGGUGUGAAAUCCCCGGGCUCAACCUGGGAAUGGCAUUUGGGACUGCAAGGCUGGAGUGCGGCAGAGGAGACUGGAAUUCCUGGUGUAGCAGUGAAAUGCGUAGAUAUCAGGAGGAACACCGAUGGCGAAGGCAGGUCUCUGGGCUGACACUGACGCUCAUGCACGAAAGCGUGGGGAGCAAACAGG